GGGUUGCGGACAGUGUCUGGUGGGUAGUUUGACUGGGGCGGUCUCCUCCUAAAGAGUAACGGAGGAGCACGAAGGUUGGCUAAUCCUGGUCGGACAUCAGGAGGUUAGUGCAAUGGCAUAAGCCAGCUUGACUGCGAGCGUGACGGCGCGAGCAGGUGCGAAAGCAGGUCAUAGUGAUCCGGUGGUUCUGAAUGGAAGGGCCAUCGCUCAACGGAUAAAAGGUACUCCGGGGAUAACAGGCUGAUACCGCCCAAGAGUUCAUAUCGACGGCGGUGUUUGGCACCUCGAUGUCGGCUCAUCACAUCCUGGGGCUGAAGUAGGUCCCAAGGGUAUGGCUGUUCGCCAUUUAAAGUGGUACGCGAGCUGGGUUUAGAACGUCGUGAGACAGUUCGGUCCCUAUCUGCCGUGGGCGCUGGAGAACUGAGGGGGGCUGCUCCUAGUACGAGAGGACCGGAGUGGACGCAUCACUGGUGUUCGGGUUGUCAUGCCAAUGGCACUGCCCGGUAGCUAAAUGCGGAAGAGAUAAGUGCUGAAAGCAUCUAAGCACGAAACUUGCCCCGAGAUGAGUUCUCCCUGAGACUU
rnacentral:rRNA from 1 species